AGGAGUUUAAGAAAAAACUGCAUUAUCGACUUCUGGUAAAUGUUGUCAAAAAUGGAGCACAUUUACCGUUAAGUGAAAUUAGUAAUUAAAUAUAUUUUAAUAGUUUUGCAGACUCUGUUCGUGACAGCUUAGAACAACACACUCCCAAAAAAUGGCGUUUUCUUUUGUAAGAGUCAUCCCAAGAGAGAAGAUAACGGAAAUGAGUGAACAUAAAAACCAAUAAUAGCUGUGUAUAGGAACUCAAAAAUUUGAGCAAAUUAGAACAAAUGUUUACUGGAAGUCGGAGAUAGCAAAUUUUGACCGUUGGAAAAUAGAGAACCUGAAAAUUUCUACUGGGAAUUUUUUGGCAGCAGAAAUUUGCAACUUUGAACAGAUGUUUUGUUAAGGACAGCUGUUUUAUGAAAAACAGCCGUUACAUGAAAAUACAAAAGCUAACGCCAAAAUG